AAUCAACGCUGGCGGCAGGCCUAAAACAUGCAUGCCGAACGCCCUAGCAAUAGGGAGUGGCGCACGGGUGAGUAACAUGUGGGAAUAUGCCUUUUGGUACGGAACAACGUUUGGAAACGAACGCUAAUACCGUAUGGUCCCUCCGGGGUAAAGAUUUAUCGCCAAAAGAUUAGCCCGCACUAGAUUAGCUAGUUGGUAAGGUAAUGGCUUACCAAGGCGACGAUCUAUAGCUGUUCUGAGAGGAAGAUCAGCCACACUGGGACUGAGACACGGCCCAGACUCCUACGGGAGGCAGCAGUUAGGAAUAUUGGACAAUGAGCGCAAGCCUGAUCCAGCCAUGCCGCGUGAGUGAUGAAGGCCUUCGGGUUGUAAAGCUCUUUAGCCGACGAAUAUAAUGACUGUAGUCGGAGAAUAAGCCCCGGCUAACUUCGUGCCAGCCGCCGCCGUAAAAC
rnacentral:rRNA from 1 species